rnacentral:rRNA from 1 species
UAAUACGGAGGGUGCAAGCGUUAUCCGGAUUCACUGGGUUUAAAGGGUGCGUAGGAGGGCAGGUAAGUCAGUGGUGAAAUCUCCAAGCUUAACUUGGAAACUGCCGUUGAUACUAUCUGUCUUGAAUAUUGUGGAGGUGAGCGGAAUAUGUCAUGUAGCGGUGAAAUGCUUAGAUAUGACAUAGAACACCAAUUGCGAAGGCAGCUCACUACUCAAUUAUUGACUCUGAGGCACGAAAGCGUGGGGAUCAAACAGGAUUAGAUACCCUGGUAGUCCACGCCCUAAACUAUGGAUACUCGACAUACGCGAUAUACAGUGUGUGUCUGAGCGAAAGCAUUAAGUAUCCCACCUGGGAAGUACGACCGCAAGGUUG